UGGUCAGAGCAGUGUGCAGCCUGGCGUGCCUUGUGGAGCCCCCUUGGUGGUGGGAUGCCUGUGCGGGGUAAAGGAGGAGUUAACCAAAACCUUCAAACGCAACCAGCUCCCCUGUGGCAGAGCCGAGGAAGCGAGCUCCGAGCUUAGGUUUCUGCACAGUGUUUGGGUUUUUUGAUCUGGCAUCCAGUUUGGAUGCCUGAAGUUUCUAAAGCUGGCCUGGCGUGACUCGGAUCCUAUUUGAAACGUUGGCAAAACUCAUGUGGAAUUCAGCAAUGCGAGGGAGAGCCGGGUUUUGGAGCGCAUCAGCGGUUGGGGACAGGGACUGUCAUCUACCCUUUGUCUGUAGGGCACCUAGCACGACACGGUCCUGGCGACAGGAGGCUCCGAGCCAUAAUGGCAAUGCAAACAGCAAAUAACAACGUUUUGUGAGGUGAGCAGGGCUUAGGGCAAGCAUAUAUGUAAGUCGCAUGCAUGCAUGUGUACGGGUAAGUGCCAGAGGCAGGGACUCACAAAUAUUUAACCACAAUAAACAGAGACACAUUUUCUUCCCUUUUCCCGAGGAGCCGGUCAUCCAUCCAGCUAUUUUAUUUAUUUAUUAAAUAUCACUGGAGAUAGUUCAGCAGCAGGGGCGCGCUGCUCUGUCUCCCGGCCGAUGAUUGCCAUCAGGCUGGAGAAAUCAGUCAUUUCUGGCAAGAAAAAAAACCGUUCGGUGGGUUAAUGAUGCAGGGUAAAUACUGACAGUGGCCAGUGGUCUGAGCACACCAGACAUGACCUAAGGGAAUCAUAGAUUCCGAGGGGGCUGCUGUGUCUCCGUAAUGUGAUUGCCUCUUUAUAAUGGCCUCAACUUUUUUUUUUUUUCUUCCUUUUUUUUUUUUUUUUUUUUUCUCCCUUCCCCUUUAUCAUUAUUGACCAAGGAGCAUCAGUGAGGCUGGAGAAUAAAUAGUUCCCUGAUGGUUAACAACAGGCCCUCCACCGAUUGCAAAGCCAGCCGGGCUCCAGCAUCACGAUAGAAGCGGGGGGCACCCCAGGAGGCUCCCCUGCGGCUGUGGGGCGCAGGCACCGGCACGGGACGCGGCCACAAACCCCGUCCCCUGCGCUCCCCCUCUCCAUCCCCAUCCCCAGCUCCGUCUGGGCGCUGCUGGCCGGGGCUGUUUGCACAACCUCCCCCGGCUGGGGCUGGCUCCAGGCUCCCGGGGGCGGGAGGUGCUGCUUUUCCAGCGGGUAUUUGUCGGGUCAGAGGCUGCGCCGCCCGCCGGGCUCCGCGCCUCGCUCCCCGGGUUAUUUAUUGCCUCGCUCCCCGGCGGCAGCGCUGCGGCUCCGGGGCUGCUGCCAGCAACCCGCGGCGGCGGCGGGGAACCCGUCGGGGGGUUCCCGAGAAGCGACGAGGCCGUUUUUAUUUCUUGUGCGCCGGGUCGGGUUGUUUCCCUUGCCAGCAGGCUGCGUGCGUAGGGUCCCUCCACGGCUUUCACCUCCGGGGUUGUG
rnacentral:lncRNA from 1 species